GCCGGCGUGGCGCAAUGGUAGCGCGUAGCUUUCCUACACAGCAAGGCUGAAGUUGCGGGUUCAAUCCCCGUCGUCGGUU